rnacentral:rRNA from 1 species
AUGAAUCGUCCUGAUUGCAAGUUCUACCUAGGAGAUGUUUGCUAUGCAUGUCGGUCAGGUAUUCUUCCACCCUUCAAGAAGACCAGGUAUCAUUUGAACGAGUUCUCUAGUAGGGACUACCCUAGGACUCCACAUGAGUUGUUCAAUCUCAGACACUCCAACCGUAAAGUAACAGUUGAGAGGGCAUUUGGAGCUCUGAAGAACAGGUUCAAAAUCCCGGAUCAGAAGCCAUUUCACCCUUACGCUACCUAGGUUAACCUUGUUCUUGCAUGUUGCAUUCUGCAUAACUGGAUCCUGCAAUGGGAUUGUGAUGAACUGGUACAUGAGGAGGAAGAUGUGACACCUGACAAUUUUGACCUCGAUGGCCAUAGUGUUGCGGCAUUUGACAUUGAAGCCUCGAAGAACAAAAGGCUGAAAUGGGCACAAUCAAUGUGGGAUAACAGAUGUUAG